rnacentral:lncRNA from 1 species
CAGAAAUAUUCAAAAUUAUAAACUUGGUCUUUUGGAUUUUCAUUAGAUUCAUCAUGAUUAUGGUUUGAGAAGAGAUAUUUUGUCUGCUUCUGUACAUUGCCCAGAAAAAGAAAAUGGCUGUCCUUACACUGCAAAACUUGAAAAAAUCGAGGUAAGCUUAUUGACGUAAUUUGAACAAACUUAAAAGUUAUGUAUGAUAUAUUUUGAACUUCAGCGUUAACAUUUUUGCAAAAUGUCACCCCACCCCCUCCAACCAACAAAACAAAAGUAAAAGAGAACAGCAGUAAAAUAUAAUUCGUUAGACAUUUAAUGUAUCUACCUCAUGCAAAACUCUGAUUCCUUGCACAGCUUUGGCUUUAUUUUUUGGUCCUUUAUUGUUUAUAGCUCUUCAUAUUUUUAAUAAGCUUUGUAUAUUCAAAUAUUUUGGCCUCGAGCAUCACUAUAUAGUCGAAAUGUGCAUCUUGUGCAUAAAAAAUGGUACCGUUUAUGUCAUUACAGCUUCUAUGAAUGUUAAUCAAAAAAUAAAUUUUAGAUGAAACAUAUCAAAGUGUAUAUUUUCCAUAGAUAGUUACCUCAAAUCAAGUAAAAAUCCCCUUUAAAAUCAUUUUCUUCUGCACAUGAUGUGUCAAAUUGUUAAUAGGUGGGCAAUAUUUUGACAUUUUACAGAGUCACUUGUCAUCAGAUUGUGAGUGGAGGCUUGUAAACUGCACAUUUAAAGACAAAGGAUGCGAUGAAAACAUACGUUACAAGGACCUACAGGAUCAUAUAUCUACAUUGUGCCUACAAGCUCCAGUUGUUUGUGCCUUCUGUCAGUUACCCGUUUUAAGAGGCAAGAUGAGGG